rnacentral:tRNA from 1 species
GGAUAGAUGACCGAGUGGUUUAAGGAGCCGGUCUUGAAAACCGGUACGGACCAAUGUCCGUCGAGGGUUCGAAUCCCUCUCUAUCCGCCA